rnacentral:rRNA from 1 species
UACAGAGGUCUCAAGCGUUGUUCGGAUUCAUUGGGCGUAAAGGGUGCGUAGGCGGCGCGGUAAGUCGGAUGUGAAAUCUCGGAGCUUAACUCCGAAACUGCAUUCGAUACUGCCGUGCUUGAGGACUGGAGAGGAGACUGGAAUCUACGGUGUAGCGGUGAAAUGCGUAGAUAUCGUAAGGAAGACCAGUGGCGAAGGCGGGUCUCUGGACAGUUCCUGACGCUGAGGAACGAAAGCUAGGGGAGCAAACAGG